GAGGGCCCCUUUGGAAAACACCAGGCACAGUGCCGUGAUCCCACAACCCCAGACAAGUACGUGCUUACUAACUCCCUAAUGCGAGUCCACAAGCCACCGUGUCCCUAGGACAGGACAGGCGGCACCCGGAGCCAAAGCCGCGGCGUGAACGCGCACCUCGGGCACGCGCGCAGCAGGCACCUCCCCGCCAGCCCCGCCAGCCCCGCACCUGUGCGCCGGCUCCACCCGCAGCCACGAAGGUACAGACCGCAGCCGCGUCCUCCGACAACCGCAGCGGCACCACGUUAGCCGGCGCCAGCUUCGGUGUUUUGAAACCUAGUUCACGUCGCGCGAAAACCGACACAGCGUGCCGUUUCGGAAAAACAAGACCAGUCUCACACCCACGCCCUUGAGCGACGUGGAGCACCCGUACGCGGGAAGAACCCUAAGAUUUGUGAACAAGCGCCCUGAACGAGCGGCUGUUCGUGAGGUGCCCGGGACAGAACCCGGAGCCCGCCGCCCUCCGCGGCCCGGAUCCCGGUUGCGGGGGGACCCCACGUCCUCCGGCGGUUUCCCAACCUCCCCUCCCAGCCGAUGCCGGGAGUGCGGGAGAAUGAGCCCUGCUUUCCCGGCGGAGUGGGGGCGGUUUCCCCAUGCCAGGAUUCCACUUUGGGAAUGAUCAAGGAAAUCCCAGCACGGAGUCAGGAUCCCUUUGCCUGCGGGGGUUACUCCCCGCCGUGGCCAACCCUCUGCUUCCUAAUAGGCCCGCCACCUCGCCUGCUUCGGGAGGUCUCCGUGAACCAGGAGGUGCUCUGGUUAUGGUCACAAACUGGGAGGAGUGGGUACUGGUCUACCAUGGCCUGGCAGGACUGGGGCAUCUGUCGGAGAAGGGGAGGUUGCAGGAGGUCGCAGGCUGUGAGCAGGAGCAAGGGCGACCUGCCUAGGGAGCACCUCUGUGCCUCAGGACGGUACCCGCUUCCCAGGUCCUCACCUCCCCGCCCCAACACAUACUUGUGCCCCUCCCCCAUCGUCUCCAAGAGCGCCGGCGUCCAAAUCGCCCCUUCGGACCUACUCCCUUCACACCCAUAGGCUCCAUCUUUCCAGUUCAAGACCACUAUGGGGAGGAAGGGGGGAUGCACCCACUGCCUCACCCUUCUGCACCUGGACAGUGGAGAGGUCUGCAGUCCAAUCCCCUCAGAUCAGAUCUAGCUCACCUCUCUCCCCAGGCACCACCCCCAACCCACUCUGGUGUGUUCGGGAUACCUACUGAUGUAUCAUUGACAAAACUUAAAUGUUGUGUAUAUAUGUGCCUUCAAUGGGCAGAGAGGAGAUUAUGCCAGAUCUUGUAUCCAUUCCCCUAGCAUUAAACCCUUACACUGCUUCCAGAGACCCACCCUACAGACAACCCUCCUAGGAGUCCCUCCAAGACGAUGUGCGAGGGUCUGGGAGCUGCCUUUCUGGGAGUGGAGGUAUUGACCAAAGGGCAUCCAGGUACUGUUACAAAGGGCUGCCAAAAGGUUCUCUAGGGGACUGCACUCCUUACCCACCCCCCAGCCGUGUGCUGUGACUGGCUUGUAUAGGCUUAUAAGACCCAACUGUUAAAUUUUCAGGAAUUGUACAAGCUUGGUGUCAAACAUCGCAUUAUUAAAAAUUAAACUUCCUUUUAUUGUA